GAAAACACUGGCUUUGACUUCAGACACAUCACGACUUUGAUGGAACGCUGCAAAACCUUGGGUUAAGGGUCAGAGGUUAGCUGUUUGUGCGUGGGCGGGGCUUAAAGGUGUUUGCUCAGCGCUGAUAUUAGUUUAUUUCCUUCUCCGCGCCUCCUUUAAACACGAUCAGGUGCAACUUUAUUAUUCUGGAUUCACAUCUUUGAGUUUUCCCGAGGCCUUCGUGACCUCUGACCUCUGUGCCGAUGCUGCGAUGUUAUCCUCCACAUCAGCUCUGUGUGAAGGCACGCCGUCAGCUCUCAGUAGAUUUUUAAUCAUUUUGCCCGGUUUGUACACGUGUGUGGUGCCGCACGGAGCCUGGUGAGGCGAGCGCGGCGUAUUCUGAGCGCGUUAUGUGAUAAUCGUCCUCUCAGAUGAAAGCUGACGGGCUGAACCUUCGCUCUCGGGCUCUCCGGCGCUCGCGGUGAUAAAAGUGAAAACAUUAAAAAUGCGUUGCUGUCAAACACUUCCGGAGUUUUUCUCUGUGGCGUUUAGAGCUGAUUCCCACACAGCAGGGAUAUCGUCUGUAAUGGUUCCAAACCUGCCGCCGUCCUCCAUCCAUUACGCUCCCAGUCCCCCUCUCAGCCUCAGCCGCCGGCUCUCACCGUCAAUGACCGACUCUCAUCCACAAUUAUCAGCUCUCCUUCCUAAUCACCAGCACUCAGCUCCAGUUUGAACCCUCCCACUGCAGCCACUGACCCUCUCGUCUGCCGCUGCGUGUCCACUCCACAGUUCCUGGACGCCGGCGUUCCUCCCGUGGGAUUGUGGUUUUUUUGCAGACUGUACGUUUUGUUUCCUGGUGAAAAAGACUGUUCAGUCUUACUGUCCAACCAUGAAGGCAAACCUGACAGCGUGUGCAGGAAUUAGACCUGACCAUAAAGAUAAUAACAAUGACAGAAGUUUGAUUGUGGGCGGGGCUUAGGGAGCUUGAGUCACACUAGACCAAAAAGAGGACGGCGACCUCCCUGCAACCAAAACGAUCUGACAGAUUUCGCUGCUGUGACUGCCGCGUUCAUCUCCGUGGCGCUCCCUCUGCUGCGCAGCGUUUAGGUCACAGCCUGAUCGAAAACAUGAACACAGGCCAAAGAACCCCGACGAGCGUGCACGUGGAGGCUGCAGAGGCGUGCCCGGUGAGAUCAUCAGCGUACCUGCUGCUCACCUGAAACAGUAAAAUGUCACGGCGGUGUCCGCUCGAUGACACGACGCCUAAACCCUCCGACUAAAGGGGGCCGGGCCGAGUAUUUAUCAGACGCGCUCACGUGAAGCGCCUCGUCCACAUUUCUCCUCCUGAUGGAUCCGUACGAGCGACGAGCUGAGGAGUGAUUUUAUUUCAGGCCGCAGCCCAGAGGGAGCCGCUCGAGCCGGCGUGAAACGGUUAACGUGAAAUAUAAAUCCAAAUAUUUGUGUCAGGAUUUCCCCUCAGGAGCGCUAACAGCGGCGGGUUUGGGAGGAAGUGGGGACGGCGCUAACGCUCCAUCAUUAUCCUGAAGUCUGAUUUACCGUCGCUGCUCUACAGCUGAGAAACCAUCGUCUCAGGUCGAUGAGCGGGAAACAGAAACAGGAAGUGACCUCACAGACACUCAGCAGCUCAUCUUUUUUUAUUAAGCUGGGAGAGUCUCCAAACGUCUGCGCGCUCACGACCAUAAAGUCACGUGAUACAAACAGACGUUCGUGCCAUGAACACACGAGUCCAUAAAAGAAUUAAACACACGCGACACAGACAGGAACGCUCACGUCAUGUGACGACCUGCGUGAACGACGGCGGGAUGCAGAUUUCUCCAAUUCUGAAUAUGUUUAAGGUUCCAUGAAGGUUUGAGUCGAUGAAACCGGGAACGCUGAGGUUCACCGCUGAACGGUCGUGGGUUCGAACCUCGCAGGUCAACGGUGCCUCUCUCUGACUGGUGACGGCAGAUUUGCUCCUCCAGCGUUCAGAGCAGCGGCUCUGUUGCCACUCGUGGUGCUGAUGCUGCUGCUGACCUGAUGACGCUUGUUUCUAUGGAUACCGCCCAUCAUUGUGUUGGAAACAUUAUCUAAGUCAACCUUUCAGUGAAAACAAGAGAAAUGAA